rnacentral:rRNA from 1 species
GGCUCAGGACGAACGCUGGCGGCGUGCUUAACACAUGCAAGUCGAACGGGGUGUUUAUUUCGGUAAACACCAAGUGGCGAACGGGUGAGUAACGCGUAAGCAAUCUACCUUCAAGAUGGGGACAACACUUCGAAAGGGGUGCUAAUACCGAAUGAAUGUAAGAGUAUCGCAUGAGACACUUACUAAAGGAGGCCUCUGACAUAAGCUUCCGCUUGAAGAUGAGCUUGCGUCUGAUUAGCUAGUUGGUGAGGGUAAAGGCCCACCAAGGCGACGAUCAGUAGCCGGUCUGAGAGGAUGAACGGCCACAUUGGGACUGAGACACGGCCCAGACUCCUACGGGAGGCAGCAGUAGG